rnacentral:tRNA from 1 species
AAUUAGAAAGCGAAGUAUUGCGUUUAGUUUCGGCCUAAAAAAUGGUGAGGACCUCUAAUUU